AUUCCGGUUGAUCCUGCCGGAGGUCAUUGCUAUCGGGGUUCGAUUUAGCCAUGCUAGUCGCGCGAGUUUAGACUCGCGGCGUAUAGCUCAGUAACACGUGGCCAAACUACCCUACAGACGAGAACAACCUCGGGAAACUGAGGCUAACACUCGAUACGCGUUGGCUGUUUGAAGACGCCGACGCUCAAACGCUCCGGCGCUGUAGGAUGUGGCUGCGGCCGAUUAGGUAGAUGGUGGGGUAACGGCC
rnacentral:rRNA from 1 species